UUAAAUCACAAUAUUUAUAUCUGGGUGCAUAACUGGUUUACCCCAGUUCCUAGAUAGUGCCGAAAGAGUGGAUUAUUAUAGACUGAUAGGUUUAUAGUAACAGCCAUUAAGGUGUAUGCGAAUAUAUCUUAAAAGUCCAAAAGACAAUUCAAGGCAUUAGUGCAAGCACACAACUUAAUAAAUUAGUUAAUUUGUCGCAAUCACAAUAGACGCUCCAGUGGAGAAUAACCCUUAAACAGUUUGGCAAGUAGUGUUGAGAAUAUGCAAGGGAAUACUAAUAAGAUUGUUAGACUUGAAGUUGCGUAAGCAAUGUAUAAGACAGAUUAAUGUUAAAGUAGCCGAAAGUCUAUAGCCAAAGAGCGAAAAAGGCGUUAACUUUUCUGAAUGUUCGGUGAAAUUUGAUGGCAACAAUCCGUUUACGGGAUCUCAAUGGGCAAGAAGUGUAUGGGUCGCUCCUAUAUGCUCAGACUUGUCUUCCGUAUGAAUGAAUAAUUAUUUUGUGUGUAAAGUUUGUAAGGCGAAGGUCUAUAAAUAUUGUGAUUUA
rnacentral:sRNA from 1 species